rnacentral:rRNA from 1 species
AUUGAACGCUGGCGGCAGGCUUAACACAUGCAAGUCGAGCGGAGAUGAGGUGCUUGCACCUUAUCUUAGCGGCGGACGGGUGAGUAAUGCUUAGGAAUCUGCCUAUUAGUGGGGGACAACAUUCCGAAAGGAAUGCUAAUACCGCAUACGUCCUACGAGAGAAAGCAGGGGAUCUUCGGACCUUGCGCUAAUAGAUGAGCCUAAGUCGGAUUGGCUAGUUGGUGGGGUAAAGGCCUACCAAGGCGACGAUCUGUAGCGGGUCUGAGAGGAUGAUCCGCCACACUGGGACUGAGACACGGCCCAGACUCCUACGGGAGGCAGCAGUGGGUAAUAUUGGACAAUGGGGGGAACCCUGAUCUAGCCAUGCCGCGUGUGUGAAGAAGGCCUUAUGGUUGUAAAGCACUUUAAGCGAGGAGGAGGCUACUGAGACUAAUACUCUUGGAUAGUGGACGUUACUCGCAGAAUAAGCACCGGCUAACUCUGUGCCAGCCGCCGCAGUAA